UACGUAGGGGGCGAGCGUUGUCCGGAUUUAUUGGGCGUAAAGAGCGUGUAGGCGGUUCGGUAAGUCUGUCGUGAAAUCCUGAGGCUCAACCUCGGACGUGCGAUGGAUACUGCCGGGCUAGAGGAUGGUAGAGGCGAGUGGAAUUCCCGGUGUAGCGGUGAAAUGCGCAGAUAUCGGGAGGAACACCUAUGGCGAAGGCAGCUUGCUGGGACGGAACUGACGCUGAGACGCGAAAGCGUGGGGAGCAAACAGG
rnacentral:rRNA from 1 species